CCCCCGGGGGGCAGGGUCUUGUCAAUCGAGCUCCAGGAUCCCUUAGGUGGGAGGAGAGUGGCAAGAGGAGCCCAUAGAAGGCAAGGGGGUGAAGUUACUCAAGGAGGCGGGGAAUCUUCUUUAAAUCAGCCAGUGGGGACGAUUCAAGAUCUCAGAGCGAGCCAAUGAAAUGGGAAGAGGGAUAAAAACUUGGAAGGCGGGACUAUUUAGGAAAUAAAAAGAGACCGCCAGUGGUGGGGUGGGGGGGAGAGAAAAACAGGGCAGUGAGGGCUCUAGUGAAGGCGGAGAAAGGCACAAAGGGGGCGUGGCUUCGCUACGUUUAGCCAAUGGAGCUGGCCCGGGGAAGGGCUGCCAGAAAAAGGAAGGUUUGGGGGGAGAAGCCUGAAGCAGAGCCUCAAAUUGAGGAGAGAAGGUCCAUUUUGUUGUCUCUUCUCACCAUCCCUACCCUCCUCUAUGUCAUCUCUCCUCUACGUCACCUGGACAUCCAGCCAGCAGCCAUCUAGGUUCAGGCGCUCACCACCUUCAACCUGGACAGCCUGACUUCAACCCCCCCCCCACUGACCUCACUUUCCCCACUCCAGGCUACUAUCCUCCACGCAGCUGUCAAAGCGCCUUCCCCAAAACCGAGGGGAAUCAACUCGCAAUCAACUCCCUCUUGCCUCCUCAAUCAAAUAUCAAUUCCUCUGGGCAGCAUUUAAAGCCCUUCGCCACCUGCCCUCCCUUCCCACCUCUCCGGUCUUCUUAUAGCGUUCUUCCCUUCAUAUAUUCUGGAUAUGACAUUAACCUACUAUCUCCAUUUCUAGACUCGAUGCCUUUUCAAUGCCUGAAAGGUUCUGUCCUGUGACCUUCACCUCUUCCCAGGCUUCCUUUAAGACCUGUCAAGAGACAGCUAGAUGGUGCAAUGGUUAAAGUACUAGUCCUGAAAUCAGGAGGGCCUGAGUUCAAAUUCAACUUCAGGGUCACAGACCAGUGACCCUGAGCAAAUCAUUUAAUCUUAAUUACCUCAAAAAAAAAAGUUUCAGUUCAAGGGAUAGCUAGAUGGUGUAGUGGAUAGAACAUACAUAAAUCCUGCAAUUAGGAAGACCUGAGUUCAAAUCCAACCUCAGACUUUACUGAUCUGUGACCCUGAGCAAAUCACUUAACCCUGAUUACAAAAAAAAAAAAAAAAGAAAAGAAAA